rnacentral:rRNA from 1 species
UACCAGCACCCCGAGUGGUCGGGACGAUUAUUGGGCCUAAAGCAUCCGUAGCCGGUCCUGCAAGUCUUCCGUUAAAUCCAGCUGCUCAACAGAUGGGCUGCGGGAGAUACUACAGGGCUAGGAGGCGGGAGAGGCAAGCGGUACUUUAUGGGUAGGGUAAAAUCCGCUGAUCCAUAGAAGACCACCAGUGGCGAAGGCGGCUUGCCAGAACGCGCUCGAUGGUGAGGGAUGAAAGCUGGGGGAGCAAACCGG